rnacentral:rRNA from 1 species
UACGUAGGGUGCAAGCGUUGUCCGGAAUUAUUGGGCGUAAAGAGCUCGUAGGCGGUUUGUCGCGUCUGCUGUGAAAACUCGGGGCUUAACUCCGGGCCUGCAGUGGGUACGGGCAGACUAGAGUGCGGUAGGGGAGACUGGAAUUCCUGGUGUAGCGGUGAAAUGCGCAGAUAUCUGGAGGAACACCGGUGGCGAAGGCGGCAUCCUGGACCGGCAUUGACGCUGAGGCGCGAAAGCUAGGGGAGCAAACGGG